rnacentral:lncRNA from 1 species
GGCAGGAACGUCUUCAGCUGCUGUACAAUAAAAGACCAGAAGUAAUGAUUUGACACAUUUCUACCCAUCCUGUGUCUUUUUUUUUUUUUUCCAAAUGAUGUUGUGAUCACACAGACCUCUAACAUCCUCAAAACCUUUCAUGCCAAAAAUUUCCGUGGUCAGCAGGAACAUCAAUGCACCUGAAGUGGGGAACGUGGCAUUUAGCAAUUGGUUACUACAGAAGCAGAAUAAGGGCAGAGUUAUGGCCAUAUGAAAAACCCAGGGCACAGUCUUGUAAUUAAAAGGCCAUCAUAAUGCAUGUACCACUGAGGAGGACUGGGUAUUAAUCACUGUCUGAUUAAUACUUGAGAGCUUGUCUGUGUGAUCUGGAUGUAUUUUUAUGUGCUCGCCUUGUGCAUGCACGUAUUUGGCCCAGUGGUGAGAAGCAAAUGUGUCUGAGGCUUGGAAGCUGAAGUUUCACUUGAUCUGGCUUCUUGAGUCAUUUCCUGUGGAUUUGCAAGAUCUCAUAUUUGAUCUCUGCUUUCACUGUCCUACUAAUUUAGAAGCUGCUGAGCGAUGUAUUCUCUGAAUGAUUUCUCUCCCUCCUGGUAUUACUUUCAUGCCGAUAGAUACUCAAUUUUAUUUCUCUGAUAUUCAGGUUACUGUGCCGGUUCUUGCGGGUGGUGCAUUCGAGAUGACUGACUUUUCUGAAUGAAAAGGCUCCCUCUCAGAGGAGUGGGAUUUCAGCAUGCCUUUGGAGAAUUGGUUUGGAGAAUUGUCAGGAUCAUUUCAGGCACCUGCCAGGGGAAGAGAAGGUGGAGAACUCCUUGCAGUCUUCCCAGGAUGUCGUUUUGGAGGGUGGUAAGAUCAGAGCAGGAAAGCAGAAAGGACCCUCACUGCCAGAUGAACUGAUUUGCUCAAGAACUGACUAUGCCACUGUUUUCUAGUUUUUAUUUCUUUGUAACUCUGUGUUUUACUAGCGCUGAAAGUGGCAACAAAUCUUAGGAGAUCUCUUGUGCUGUUGCCUGUGUGAUUUUUCAGGACACCAAGGGAUCAACCUGGGCAACAGCAAUGACUGUGCUGGUGUCUGGGAAGGCAUUGACCAGUGCAUGCAGUCAGCCAUGAGUCACUUGUGUGGGACAAAUCUGCUGUCAUUUGUAGCUGAUUUCACGAAACCAUGCGCUCUCCUUCACCCUCUCCCAAAAUACAAACAAGGUUUAUUGAAAUGAGGAGACUGUGAGGAAAAGGGGUCUUUUCAAAACCCUUGCUUUCUAACUGGGCACUCUGUUGCCCUCGUAAUAUUCAGCAGUAUGUGAUUUAUAGCUCCCCUGACACGAUGGUUUGGUGUUUCCUUUGUGUGCAUAACUUCCUUUUGAUAUAAAGGGAUGAUAACAAACCUAAACUGUAAUCUCACUAGCACAUGACACGUUGUCUUUGUGGUGCAGAUGGCAGGAAAAUGCUCUGAUCUUGAGUUCAGCACUUCAGCCUUCCCACCCCCACCCCAAAUUCCACCCUGGUAACAGGGUGGUCAUUAGCAAGUUUAGUGAGACAGCAGUGUUGGUGGGGGCGAUUCCUUCAGAUGCAGUGAUGCAGGAUGAUGUUUUUGGGAGUCCCACUGGAGUUGAGUCCCUGGUAUGGACUCAGCAAGAGAUGGGUGCACAGCUGCUUCUUUAUCUUCUUCUUACCUUUUUGUGCUGAAUGACUAGAAGGAAAAACUGCUACAAAACCUUCACUUACCACUGUCAGUCCCCCAGCAGAGCUUUCCUUCUGUGCAUUCCCAACUCAGCGUGCCCUGGCCCAUCAAAUCAAAAAAAUAAUGUGCACGAACUCUGCAACUGUCACAGCAACCUCAGGAUUAGUCCUAAAGCUGGGCUGCUUUUGGCAUGAGGGAAGGGCUGCUCUUCUCUCGAGAUGCCUUUCCACCCUUGAGAGGUUUCUGCAUUUUUGAUACAGCUGCUUCCAGAGCCUCAUGGGAGCUGAACAAACAGAUGUCAAAUAGUCUGUUCUUACUUCAGGGAGCACAAAAGUGGAUGGGUCUGGGAUAAACACUGGAGCUGUGCACACCUUUUCCUGCCCUCCUCGGGGAUUAUUUGAAUUAGGCUUGAACCCUUAAGUGUAUUUCAAAAAGUUGCCUUCUGAUGGCCAAAAUUCACUUGGGUGUUCCUCCCUGUCUUGCACAGCUAUUGGGAGACCAACCAUUCUGAAGACUCAUGUCCCCUUUUAUUGCAAAACUCUUUGAUUGGCCUCAGCAGGUGACACAACGAACAGUUGACUACUUACUUUAGCAAAACCAGUUUUCAUGGCUUGACCUCCUUUUCUGACCCAGUGUCUUGCUGUGAGUAGAGGGUCCUAUUCAGUGUCUGAGCAGUUGUAAUUGCAGGAUUACCCAGUCCAGGCCCAGACGUGGUAGAAACCCCCCCACAGGCAUUGAUCAGGAAAGGCUUCUGGAGUUAAAUUAAGCUUUUGAAAUAUGGAAAUGAGGACAUGGCUUAGUCAGGCGUUCAGUGGCAUAUGAUACACAGGGGAAAUGAGUUAUAUGCACCCUAUUUGUGUCCCUCUGAACCCAGCCCUCAGCUUCAGGGCUGCUCGGUGACAUGACCCAUGCAGAACUUUAAAGAUGCUUGACAAUGUUUGAUUUCAAAGGGUGCCAGUCCACCCUCUUCUCCAGGCAGAUAUUUUUCCUUGUGUCAACAUCCUCAUAACAACUCCAGCUAGGCAAAUAUAGCACAUGGCUUAUGAGUGUCCUGGAAGGACUCAGAGGUGGAGAGUUAGAGCUAAAGAAGGUUCAUGGUUAACCCCAUGCACCACUGAAUAGCUUUUCCAGGGAUAAAUCACAGCACAUGAUGAAGAAGCUGGGAGGAGAGUUUAAUGGUCCUGCAGAGAGCACCACCUUAGACAGUCAUCCCUCAAGAUAUUCCCAAGGAUUCUCAUGGAAAAUAAUCCUACACUCCUUUUAUGUCCUUGUAAUCACACACAUAUUAUGCUUCCCUGCCCAGUUCUAAGGAGAAAAGUAAUUAGUCACUCCACACAAACCUUUUGGGACUAUGCAUAUACUCCAGUAUGGAAUACAGCUCUGUCUAGAAGGGAAUAAAAAUGCACAACUCUGCUCUGUGUGUGGUUAU